GAUGAACGCUGGCGGCGUGCCUAAUACAUGCAAGUCGAGCGAACGGACGAGAAGCUUGCUUCUCUGAUGUUAGCGGCGGACGGGUGAGUAACACGUGGAUAACCUACCUAUAAGACUGGGAUAACUUCGGGAAACCGGAGCUAAUACCGGAUAAUAUUUUGAACCGCAUGGUUCAAAAGUGAAAGACGGUCUUGCUGUCACUUAUAGAUGGAUCCGCGCUGCAUUAGCUAGUUGGUAAGGUAACGGCUUACCAAGGCAACGAUGCAUAGUCGACCUGAGAGGGUGAUCGGCCACACUGGAACUGAGACACGGUCCAGACUCCUACGGGAGGCAGCAGUAGGGAAUCUUCCGCAAUGGGCGAAAGCCUGACGGAGCAACGCCGCGUGAGUGAUGAAGGUCUUCGGAUUGUAAAACUCUGUUAUUAGGGAAGAACAUAUGUGUAAGUAACUGUGCACAUCUUGACGGUACCUAAUCAGAAAGCCACGGCUAACUACGUG
rnacentral:rRNA from 1 species